ACACAGGGACACAGAUGAGAUUGACUCCUGUCUCUUUAGGGGUUGAAUCUCAAUGCAAAGCUUUUAUUUUCUCAAAAACCCAUUGUCAUAGUAUUGGCCUCCAGCACAUAGGGCAGUGAGCCCCUUUAGGUUGAUACCACUGUUCCCUCCUAUGGGCGAUGUCAUUUAUCUUCAUUGGGCUCUACUAUCUUCAGAGGUUCUUCUUUUGUGGAAUUGCUUUCUGAUUUUUCAAAGUUCCAUGGCAUCAGUUUCUUCUAGUGGUUAAGAGUGGCCAGCAAGUCACCUUCUCAUGAAGGCUGUUUGUACACCCUCCUGGGGGCCAGAGCAAACUCUGCCAAGACACCAGCCAUGUUUUUGAGGCUUCUCUCCCAAGCAGACUCUGCAACCUCUCUGCAAGAAUGUGCAGACUAUAGCAUGUUUGUGGCAGCCUCACAUACUGAUCCUAGAGCACUUAUAUCUUCCUCAGUGUCAACUUCAAAACAACCUUUCUGUGAAGCUUUGUUAGAUCUAAUAGGAUGCAUGUCUCAUCGACAAAGUGAUUCAGAAAAUGCAAGCAGUCAUCUUCAUCACAGUCCUAUGGACUUCCAGGCUGAGGUGACACGCAGGGCAGGACUGACAGGUAGGCCAAAGUUCUGGGUAGAGAAGGUGGCACCAGGCAAAAGGUUUGGAAAUUGAGUGGAGGGCCUAGGACCAUUGCAGCCAGGAACUGAGAAAGCUGGGGUUGGGACUCGGGGAGAGGGAAGAUGUAGGCCAUAGACUGUAGUCUGACCGUGAGACUCAGGGGAGGAUGCGGUUGAGAGCAUGGAGAGGGUGUCCUUGGGAGAGGACCUAGGAAAUAAGCCUCCAUGAAAGGGCCCUGGAGCAGGAGCUGAAGCCUAAUUGACAUAUCAUCACCCCAUCCCUUCAUGCCCAGCCUCUCUCUGCUGGGAUCACUCCCUGGCAACCAGCUUUUUAUCAAUCCCCUCUACCUGGCUGGCAAAUCCUGAGCUUCACUCCAGGUGGUCACAAUCUGACCCUUGUGACCUCAUGCUUCCCCACCCCCAUUUGUGAAGUUCCAUCACAGGAAGUUCUUCUCCAGUGGCCCCUGAUCCAGGGAGACCCACCCUGCAACAGCCCUUGUCUCCCUCCGCCCUUGGUUCCUUCUCACCCAUCUCACCACCAUCUGCCCAGGGGAGCCACAUGUCCCAAAUUUUGGAGAGAAAAUAAUUGAGGCUCAUUUCCAGGACAGAGGGGCAAGCUGGGUCUAAAGAGCCAAGCAGAAAGGCUUCCCAAAAUCGCUAGGUUGGGAGGGGUCAGAGACGUGUGGCUGCCCCAGCUGUUCUGACUCUGCCCCAGCUUUUGGCUCCACCCCCUUAAAGCACCUUCAGAGGUUCCCAUGGCGACAGUAAACAAGUCUCCACUGCCUUGGCCAUGUGCUGUGUUCACCCCACUCCUGAUCUUGUUGGCUGCUCAGGGGCUGACAGCCCAGAUGUGCAGCUGUGAUGAGCAGAAACAGGGAGGAAUGGAGCCCCCAGCCAUUGUCAUCACUUCCUCAAGCUGUCUAAAUUCUGCCCAGCAGUCUGUGAAAAUGUUGUGCUGAUGACAUAUGUAAGGACUCUAACUCCCCUCAAACAAUCUGCUCACCUGAAAGGCUCACUCCUGUUGUAAUAAAUGACACAUAAGGUCACAAUUCAACCGGUACCCAUCUUGGAUACCACUUCUUAUGUAAACAUCAAAUAUACACCCUCUUCCCACACACUAAUGUAUCCUGUAUAUUUGAAAUAAAAGUUAGAGAUAUACAUACAGAGAUUUAAAAUCUAAAACUGUCCCCUCCCCAGUAAGUCAUGUAUCCGUUAAAAGAAUAUCUGGAAACCUCCAAAAGGAAGCCAAGCAUAGACUAUUUGGAAGAACUUGAAGGAGCGAGAGCUGACCCCAUCUUUGUACACUGGCAGCACAAGGACAACAAUCAACACGGAAGACUUCUGUGACCAAAUGUGUGCACGUUUCUCUCCAUACACCAAGCAAGCAAUCUAUUCUGCAGCAGACACCAACUGGAAGUCCUCCAAUUCAAUUCAAUUCUGACACUGUCUACCUGGAAAUGGCCUCAGCAACCACAGGUUGAGAGCUCAGUCCCACAAGAACACCUCCUCCUUCCAACCAGUUGAAACUCCACACCUCCAGAACUUCUCACUGACUGGCUUCGAGUUGAGGUUUCCACAGUCCUCUGUUUGAGUUUGAUUAAUUUGCUAGAGAAGUUCACAGAACACAAGGAAACACUUACUUAUGUUGAUCAAUUUAUCACAAAGGAUGUUUUAAAGGAUCCAAAUGGGGGCCAGGCACAGUGGCUCAUGCCUGUAAUCCCAGCACUUUGGGAGGCUGAGGCAGGCGGAUCAUGAGGUCAGGAGAUCAAGACCACCCUGGCUAACACGGUGAAACCCCGUCUCUACUUAAAAAAAAAAAAAAAAAUUAGCCGGGUGUGGUGGUGGGCACCUGUAGUCCCAGCUACUCAGGAGGCUGAGGCAGGAGAAUGGCAUGAACCCAGGAGGCAGAGCUUGCAGUGAGCGGAGAUUGCGCCUCUGCACUCCAGCCUGGGCAACAGACCAAGACUCUGUCUCAAAAAAAAUAAAUACAUAAAAUAAAAAAUAAAAAAUAAAUAAAUAAAUAAAUAAAUAAAGGAUCCAAAUGAAAAGCCAGAUGAAGAGAUAUAUAGUGUGAGGCCUGGAAGAGCACAGGAGCUUCUGUCCCUGUGGAGUUGGGGUGUGUCAUCCUCCUGGCACAUGACAGGUUCUUCUUCUGCUUCCUGUCAGCCUCCACAUGUUCAGCUCUCCAGAAGCUCUAUACAUCCUGUCCUUUCAGGCCUUUUAUGAAGACUCCAUUGGAUAGGCAAGAUAACAAACAUGUAGAAAUGUUAUUAGACCAAAGGGUAUGAUCUAUAAUAUCUAUUAUAAUGCCAAUAGACUGAGUGGGGAAACCCGGCAAGGCCUGUCUAUUCAGAUUCUUGUUAGCACCUCUGUGCAGCAUUCCUUCCUCCAGGGUAUGGCAGGACCUUUCUCAAAUGAGGAUCUUAUGGCCCACAAUCAGAAAGGCAGGGGAAGAUUAGAGGAGGGCAGGGGAAGGUCAGAGAGAGAGAUUAUAUUUUCUGAGGUCUGCUCCUGAGACUUAAAGCACUCCAACAUUAUAACAGAAGACUAUGGGAGUUAUGCCAACAACCAUGGAUGAAAACAUGUUUUAUAUAUAAUAUAUAUAUUAUAUAUAAUUAUAUAUUAUGUAUUAUUAUAUAUAAUUAUAUAUUAUAUAUAUUUUAUAUAUACUCGCAAGAGGUUAAUUCAGAAAAUUGCUACUGUGGUUGCUACUUUUUGUCCUUUAACAACCAAUUUAAAGUAAAAUUUUGACUGAAAUAGCAAUUGAUUUUUGAGAAAUGUCAGCAAUCGCAAUGAUAAUAAUUUUUUAGCCAUUAUCCCAAAGGAAACGAGUGAUGUUUUCAAAAUGUACUUCAAUCCUUCAGCAAUAAUCAGAUAAAUAAAUUUCCUGUAAAAUUAUAAUUAAAAGUAAAUGAUACUUUUAAUUUUUAUGGAUAAAUAAUAUUUGUACAUAUUUAUGAGAUUCAUGUGAUAUUUUGUUACAUGCAUACAAUAUAUAAUGGUCAAGACAGGGUAUUUAGGGCAACUGCUACCUUGAGUAUGUGUCAUGUUCUGUGUUUAUCAUUUGAAAUCUUCUUGCUAUUUUGAAAGACAAUACACUGUUGUUAACUAUAAUCACUCUACUAUGAUAUUGAACAGUAUAAUUUAUUCCUUUAUCUAACUGUAUGUUUGUACCCAUUAACUAACCUCUGUCCAUCUCCCGCACCCUUGCCAUACACACUCUUUUCAUCUUCUUGUAUCUAUUAUUCUCUUCUCUACCUCCAGGAGAUUAACAUUUUUAGCUCCCACACAUAUGUGAUGACUUGUAAUAUUUGUCUUUCUGUGCCUGGCUUUUUUCACUUAUGUUAAUGAACUCCAGUUCCAUUCAUGCUGCUGCAAAUGACACGAUUUCCUUAUUUUUAUUGCUGGAUAUUAUUCCAUUGUGUGUAUACGCUGCAUUUUUAUCCAUUGGUUUAUUGACGAACACUUAGGUUGAUUCCAUAUCUUUGCUAUUGUUAGUAGUGCUACGAUAAACAUGGGAGUGCAGAUAUCUUUUUGAAAUAUUGAUUUUGUUUUCUUUAUAUAAAUACCCAGUAGUGGUAUUUUUGAAUCAUAUGGUAGUUCUAUUUUUUGAUUUUACUAAUUUAUAUUCCCACCGGUAGUGUGUAAAAGUUCCCUUUUCUCCACAUCCUCACCAGCAUCUGUUAUUUUUUGUCUUUUUAAUAAUAGUCAUUCUAACUUAGGUAAGAGGAUAUCUAAAUUAUCUUUCAAUGAAAGGAAUGAGGGAUACAUUAAUAUUAGGCAUUGAUCUUCUUUUGACAGAAAAACAUCAAAAUGUUGUACAAAUUUGUAAGGAUUUGAUAAUAAAUUUUGGCAGAUGUCCAAUAUCAAGAUCACCAACCACUUCAUUAAUAAUUGUUGUUAAGUCAUGGAACUUGUCUGCAGAAAUUGUAUUCUUCCAAGCUUCUAACUGAGGAUUUUGCCCUUCAACCUUAUCUGCUGUGAAAAGACAUGUUUUUUUUUGCAAAGCAAUAUUAAGAUAAUUGAAAUAUCCAAAAUACUAGACAAAUGAGAAAGAUUCGUUGUCCAAUUUCAUCUUAAAGUCAAUAUCAAAUUGGUUGCUUACCUUGGAAACACUGAGAUUGUUCUAUAGUUCAACAGUUCUCCACCAAACUUUUACCCUCAAUAAAGAUGUACUUCCACAUACAUUAACAGUUGUUUUUAGUCAGCUUUCACAUUAUUGCCUAUAAAAAAAUUAAAGUUAUUACCCUUAUGGAAUGAUUACAUUUUACAAUUUCUCUAAGCAUAAUGUUUAGUUCAACAAGAUUUUUUGCUUUUCUAUAUAUAACAAAAAUUUCUCAAUGAAGCAAACAUUACAUUGAUUUAUAAUCUAUCGCAAGCUUCUUAAUCUGACUAAUUAUUUCAGAACAUGCCCCUACUGUGCUCAACAAUUACAUAGUUCCUGCCAUUUGUGACUCAUCAUGUGAAUUUGACCUGUUCUGUAACUCUUUCAAUAAA
rnacentral:lncRNA from 1 species